GCCGGGCGCGGUGGCGGGCGCCUGUAGUCCUAGCUACUCAGGAGGCUGAGGCAGGAGAAUGGCGUGAACCCAGGAGGCGGAGCUUGCAGUGAGCCGAGAUCGCGCCACUGAACUCCAGCCUGGGCAACAGCGUGAGACUCUGUCUCAA
ensembl:misc_RNA Metazoa_SRP Metazoan signal recognition particle RNA